rnacentral:rRNA from 1 species
AUUGAACGCUGGCGGCAGGCUUAACACAUGCAAGUCGAGCGGAGAUGAGGUGCUUGCACCUUAUCUUAGCGGCGGACGGGUGAGUAAUGCUUAGGAAUCUGCUUAUUAGUGGGGGACAACAUUCCGAAAGGAAUGCUAAUACCGCAUACGUCCUACGGGAGAAAGCAGGGGACCUUCGGGCCUUGCGCUAAUAGAUGCGCACAAGUGGGAUUGGGUAGUUGGUGGGGUAAAGGCCUACCAAGGCGACGAUCUGUAGCGGGUCUGAGAGGAUGAUCCGCCACACUGGGACUGAGACACGGCCCAGACUCCUACGGGAGGCAGCAGUGGGGAAUAUUGGACAAUGGGCGGAAGCCUGAUCCAGCCACGCCGCGUGUGUGAAGAAGGCCUUUUGGUUGUAAAGCACUUUAAGCGAGGAGGAGGCUACUUAGAUUAAUACUCUAGGAUAGUGGACGUUACUCGCAGAAUAAGCACCGGCUAACUCUGUGCCAGCCGCCGCCGUAAAAC